rnacentral:rRNA from 1 species
GUAAGCUAAUCUCUUAAAGCCGUUCUCAGUUCGGACUGUAGGCUGCAACUCGCCUACACGAAGUCGGAAUCGCUAGUAAUCGCGGAUCAGCAUGCCGCGGUGAAUACGUUCCCGGGCCUUGUACACACCGCCCGUCACACCAUGGGAGUCGGAAAUGCCCGAAGCCGGUGACCAAACCAAUAAGGAAGGAGCCGUCGAAGGCAGGUCUGAUAACUGGGGUGAAGUCGUAACAAGGUAAC